UACAGAGGUCCCAAGCGUUGUUCGGAUUCACUGGGCGUAAAGGGUGCGCAGGUGGUCGGGUAAGUCUGAUGUGAAAUCCCGCAGCUCAACUGCGGAAUGGCAUUGGAUACUAUUUGGCUAGAGGGUUGGAGGGGGACUGGAAUUCUCGGUGUAGCAGUGAAAUGCGUAGAUAUCGAGAGGAACACCAGUGGCGAAGGCGAGUCCCUGGACAACUCCUGACGCUGAGGCACGAAAGCUAGGGGAGCAAACAGG
rnacentral:rRNA from 1 species